rnacentral:rRNA from 1 species
GACGAACCGUCCAAACGUUAUUCGGAAUCACUGGGCUUAAAGGGUGCGUAGGCGGCGCGGAAAGUUGGGUGUGAAAUCCCUCGGCUCAACCGAGGAACUGCGCCCAAAACUGCCGUGCUUGAGGAAGAUAGAGGUGAGCGGAACUUAGGGUGGAGCGGUGAAAUGCGUUGAUAUCCUAAGGAACACCGGUGGCGAAAGCGGCUCACUGGAUCUUUUCUGACGCUGAGGCACGAAAGCUAGGGUAGCGAACGGG